AGAUCUAAGAAACUUUUUUAUUUUUUUAACAGAACAAGUGAAUAUAGCCAUUUUUAAACUAGGAAGAAUUGGAGUCCUUGAUGGUCUAGCUAGCUCGUGAGAAUUGUAGCAACAUCCGGCAUAAACGCACCAUCAUCAUUUCUCCAAGAAGGGAGGGAUGCAUGUAAUAUCCAUUGAGGGAGUUGGGUAAGAUUUACUUCUUUCAGGUUCUGGAGAUUCUUUGUCACUGUUAUGAUAUUGAUUCUCUCAGGAGUCUUUGUCAUCAUCUCAUGGUUCCCAAUGUGGGUUUUUUUGUACUCUCUCGGGUUUAUCAUGUCAAUGAAUUCGUUAUUAACAGAAGCUGCAGCAGCAAUGAAUUCAUACUGGACAGAGAUGUGGGCAUGAUGAUACUGGACAGAGAUGUGGGCAUGAUGAUAACUGGUGAUCGCCAUAGUUCUUUUGCUUGAUAUGACUGCUCUCAAAGCCACCUUGUUCUUUGAAUUUUGCUUUCUGACUAGUACUGUGAUCGGUUCUUGCAUUACUUGCUUCUUCUCUAAUCAUAACACCCAAAUGCUUGCUUCUUUAAUAAUACUUGUUUUGGAGCUUGGAAUCAAAGGAAGCAUCGGAUUUGAGGGGUUUUCAACAUUCUCUUGGCUAUUUUCGAUUUGAUUUCUCUUCCAAGUAGUACCUCUGGGUUUUUAUGGGUUUACAUUGGUUUUGAAAUCAGAAUUGAUUUGAGUUCGGUUAAUAUUGGUUUAAAGGAGAAAACCAAAAAAAAUAAGACACGCGAUGGGAUUUUGAGAAAGAGGUGCGUGGACCAAAAAAGGCAUGAUUUCUGUGGAUAAACCCCUUUAGAAAUCGGAGACACGCGCUCAACGCGAGAUGGGUGAGAGUGGGUGUGAAAUCACGCGAUCGGUAAAAGUGGGGUAUGAAGUGGAGCUCGCUGAUUGGCUAAAAAACUAAAAAUAGUAGACAUGUUGGAGCAUAUAACUGAAAACUGGAUUCAAAGAAUAGAAGCUGAAGAAAUCAAACAAAGAGAUGAACUUUAAUGUUUUCCAUCACACAUUACUCCCACUCUCUUCACCACUGCACAUUGCAAAGGUUGCUCAAGUUGCUCUCUUAAUAGGUUCCAAAUGCCUCAAAACCUGUUAUUGCUCUCUGGUCGUUUUGAUUGCCUCUGAUAUGUAUGGUGCUGCAGUUUUAGACGCUUGUGAGCAUAUUAUAGCAAGAAUGGAGCCUGUUGCAUCUUAACACAAUUUCAACACAUUCCCUGAGCCAUUGAUAUUGGACAAGUGCGCAUUCUUCUCUCAAAGUCCUAGGAGUUUAGCUGUUAGUUGGCCUUUUGAAAUCUUUAAAAUCCAAGAGAAUCAGAAAGAGAAGUGUUGUGUUUGAAAUCCACCAUUUGCUACAAGGAGCGUUUGUACAAGGACUAGGUUGGGUAGCUUUAGAAGAGCUCAAGUGGGGAGAUGCAGCUCAUACAUGGAGUAUACCAGGAGCUUUACUCACUUGCGGACCUGGAAACUACAAAAUACCUUCCAUUAACGACAUUCCAUUCGAACUCAAUGUUUCUCUUCUCAAAGUAUGCUACCAUAAGAAGAAGCUCUUUAAAUUGGUAGCAACACAUUUGCAACUGAUGAACCUGAGAUUAUACUUUGUUUAAUCAGGGGAAUCCGAAUAAACAGGCAAUACAUUCAUCUAAAGCAGUGGGUGAGCCACCGUUCUUUCUUUCAGCAUCGUGAUAAAGGAAGCGGCCACAAGCGAGGUAGUACUCACCAACUGGUUCCCUCCAGCCACUCCAGAGCAUAUCAGGAUGGCUUGUUUCGACGAGUUUUCAGCUCCAUUUGUAAAUUCAGAUUUCUGCCCAAAGCUUAGUUUUCAACUAUGUGAGUUGCUUCCAGUCUCCAAUACAUGUAAAAUUACAAAGUUAUAUGUUUCUUCAAAUCAGCAACUUUGUUGACUCAA